AUUGAACGCUGGCGGCAGGCUUAACACAUGCAAGUCGAGCGGGGACUUCGGUCCUAGCGGCGAACGGGUGAGGAAUGCUUGGGAAUCUGCCCAGUAGCGGGGGAUAACGUUUCGAAAGGAGCGCUAAUACCGCAUACGCCCUACGGGGGAAAGGGGGGGAUCUUCGGACCUCUCACUAUUGGAUGAGCCCAAGUCGGAUUAGCUAGUUGGUGGGGUAAAGGCCUACCAAGGCGACGAUCCGUAGCUGGUCUGAGAGGAUGAUCAGCCACACUGGAACUGAGACACGGUCCAGACUCCUACGGGAGGCAGCAGUGGGGAAUAUUGGACAAUGGGCGAAAGCCUGAUUCAGCCAUGCCGCGUGUGUGAAGAAGGCCUUCGGGUUGUAAAGCACUUUAAGCGAGGAGGAAUGGCUCUUGGUUAAUAACCUUGAGCAGUGACGUUACUCGCAGAAUAAGCACCGGCUAACUCUGUGCCAGCCGCCGCAGUAACAC
rnacentral:rRNA from 1 species